rnacentral:rRNA from 1 species
UACGGGGGGAGCAAGCGUUGUUCGGAUUUACUGGGCGUAAAGGGCGCGUAGGCGGCGCAACAAGUCACUUGUGAAAUCUCCGGGCUUAACCCGUAGCGGCCAAGUGAUACUGUCGUGCUAGAGUGCGGAAGGGGCUACUGGAAUUCUCGGUGUAGCGGUGAAAUGCGUAGAUAUCGAGAGGAACACCUGCGGCGAAGGCGGGUAGCUGGGCCGACACUGACGCUGAGGCGCGAAAGCCAGGGGAGCAAACGGG